GGUGAUACGCUGGCGGCAUCUUACAAUGCAGUUGAACGGGUUUAAGUCUAUUAAACUUAAACAAGUAGCGGACGGGUGAGUAACGCGUAAGAACCUACCUUUACGUAAGGAAUAACUAUUGGAAACGAUAGAUAAUACCUUAUAAGCUUAUAGUAAAAGAUAAAAUCGCCUAAGGAUGGGCUUGCGUCUGAUUAGCUUGUUGGUGAUUUAAAAGGUUCACCAAGGCAACGAUCAGUAGUUGGUCUAAGAGGAUGAUCAACCACACUGGGACUGAGACACGGCCCAGACCUCUACGGAGGGCAGCAGUGAGGAAUUUUCCGCAAUGGGCGAAAGCCUGACGGAGCAAUGCCGCGUGGAGGAUGAAAGCUUGUGAGUCGUAAACUCCUUUUCUUAGUGAAGAAAUAAGACGGUAUCUAAGGAAUAAGCAUCGGCUAACUCCGUGCCAGCAGCCGCGGUAAUACGGAGGAUGCAAGCGUUAUUCGGAAUUAUUGGGCGUAAAGCGUCUGUAGGUGGUUAUAAAAGUCUACUGUUAAAUAUUAAGGCUUAACCUUAAAAAAGCGGUAUGAAACUAGAAAACUUGAGUUUAGUAGAGGUACGGGGAAUACUCGGGUGUAAUGGUGAAAUGCGUAGAGAUCGAGAAGAACACAGGUUGCGAGAGAGCCCUAUUGGCCUAACUGACACUGAGACACGAAAGUAGGGAGCACU
rnacentral:rRNA from 1 species